CAGGGCGGUGGCUUUCCAGACCCCGUGGAAGAAGUCGUCGCUGACGGGAUCCUGGACGUCGAGGCUGGAGGUGCCCGACCCCCCCAGAAGCGACCUGCGGAGAAGGGCCCAGCGCUGGGAUGAGGAGCCGGUGCCCAGAGCCGGAGAGAGAACCCAGGAGUCCUGGCUCCCAGCCCCCCACUGUCACCCCUCUUGGCGGCGUGGGACCCCGGCGUCCGGACCUGGCGCUGUUCUCGAUGCGGACCCCGUACUUGCUGUCGGUGGAUUUCUUCCCCACCGUGACGCUGAAUCCCGGGUCGAAGAGCAGCACAAAGGAGACGACCCCCGACUCCGGCUUGAGGUACAGCAGGAAGGAAUCCUUCACCACCAGCCACCUGGGGGAGACGGGAGCCAGUGAGGGGGCAGGGGGGGCCACACACCCCCCCGGCCCCGCCCUGGCCCCCCAGCUCACCUCUUCGACCAGCGGUAGCAGAUCUGGUGGCGCCCACAGCAGUUGAGCCCCUGGAUUCGGUGCCCCCCGGAGCGUUUCAGGAUCAUGCCCUCCCUGCAGCAGGAGCCAGGUCGCGGUGCAGCUCCUGGAAGUGCUUGAACUUCUUCUUCAUGGUCCAGGUGAAAUCCCCGUGGGUCAGCCGCAGGGAGUACAGCGUGCUGGGCCGGAUCUGUGGGGAGAGGACCCAGGAGUCCGGGCUGCCACCCCCCUGCUCCGACCCACCAGCCCCCACUCCCCUCCCAGAGCCAGGGAGAGAACCCAGGAGUCCUGGCUGCCAGUGCCCCCUGCUCUGACCCACCA